AAGUAGGGGAAGUGACCUGCCCAAUGUCAUACAACCCUUCUAGGGGUCACAUUUGAGGAAGGAUGUUGACAAUCCAGAGAGCCCCAGAAGUAAGCAUCCAGGAUGGUGAAGAGCUUCAAACCCAUACAUAAUACGAUCCACUGAAACUGGGAAUGUUUAGCCAAGAGGUGAAGAGAUUCAGAGAAGGCAUGAUUAUUGUCUUCAGGAAGCUGAUAGAAAGGUUCCUAUGAGUCCCCGAUAUUACCGUCUUGCAACAGCAGCACACCAGACUCUCAGAAGAAGAGAAGCAGGAGAACAGGCAGCCAGAAAUCAGACUCACAUACUCGGCCCUGCCUGCCACUCUUCUUCCUCCACGGUGUGCAAGAUGGAAGAUGUUCUGAUUACCUCUUCCCCUGAGACCCAACAUCAAGUUAAAAAAGACUGCCGUACUGGUGAACUCUGGAACAGUCCAUUUCUAGAACCUGACACCUCUCGGGGCAAGAGUCUGGGAGUCAAAGAGUUACACCUUAUUACAAGGGUGGGAGGUUCAGUAUGGGAAGGGGGACAAUAUACAUAGAAAUUAUUGUGACAUACAAACAAAAGGCAUCAAUGACAAUUUUACAGUGCUUUGUCAAGCUUAAACUAUUGGCAUUUGUCUUUUAGUGGGGAUAGUUUGUCUUCUUGAGAGCUGGGAGAAAAAAAAUCCUUUGAGUGGAGGGAUCUGGUAUUUGUGGGUCAUUGUUGAACACUUAGGCCAGGCCAAGUGCUAUAGGGGACACAUAGUCCCUGAAUUCAGAGAAGCUUGAAGCCAGAGACCCAUCUUAUACACACUAAACAACCAGAGAACAAGUCAGGAUCAGAAUAUCCUUCAGGGCCCAAAUGUGCUGUGAUUACAGAAGAUUUGCUGUUAAAGAAUGGAGUAGAGUAGAAUUUUAGACAUGUAAAGGAACUUAGGACAUAAGAGUGUUGAAGCAUAAAGUGCUCUAGAUAAAACCAUUCCUGUCAGAGAUGGAAGGGAUCUUAGUGAUCAUCUAAUUCAAUCCCCUAGGGCAAGUAGGGGACUAAGCCAUAGAGCAUGGAGCACUGGGCCUGGAGUCGGAUCUUCCUGAGUUCAAAUCCAGCCUCAGACACUUACUAGCUGUGACCCUGGA